rnacentral:rRNA from 1 species
UGAGUAACCUGCCCUUGACUCUGGAAUAACAGCUGGAAACAGCUGCUAAUACCGGAUACGACCUCCGAUGGCAUCAUCUGGAGGUGGAAAGCUCCGACGGUCAAGGAUGGGCUCGCGGCCUAUCAGCUUGUUGGUGAGGUAACGGCUCACCAAGGCUUCGACGGGUAGCCGGCCUGAGAGGGCGACCGGCCACAUUGAAACUGAGACACGGUCCAGACUCCGUAGGGAGG